rnacentral:rRNA from 1 species
UGAUGCAGAGCAAAUCCCCAAAAAUUAGUCUCAGUUCAGAUUGCAGGCUGAAACUCGCCUGCAUGAAGUCGGAAUUGCUAGUAAUCGCAGAUCAGCAUGCUGCGGUGAAUACGUUCCCGGGCCUUGUACACACCGCCCGUCACACCAUGGGAGUCGGUAACACCCGAAGUCGGUAGCCUAACCGUAAGGAGGGCGCCGCCGAAGGUGGGAUUGAUGACUGGGGUGAAGUCGUAACAAGGUAGC